CAUGUACUCCCUCCGUUCCGAAUUACUUGUCGCAUGUAUGGAUGUAUCUAGAUGUAUUUUAGUUAUAGAUACAUUCAUUUCUGUGACGAGUAAUUUGGAACGGAGGGAGUAUUUA
rfam:Triticum aestivum genome assembly, contig: Triticum_aestivum_CS42_TGACv1_scaffold_000548_1AL